rnacentral:tRNA from 1 species
GGGGUUGUGGCUCAGUGGUAGAGCACUCGCCUAGCAUGUGAGAGGCCCGUGGGUUUGAUCCUCAGCACCA